UGGAAGCAUUUCUAAAGGAAGAUGCUUCUGACUCGGGACCUUUUCCAUCCAGGAGGCUCUGUUCAGGACUAACAAGAUCACUCCAUCUCACAUGCAUAUCUAGAACGAAAGGAAUUAAAUCAUCUAUUGCAAUGUCAUAAAUCACCUGAAGUGCAAGUUGUGAUAUUGUCUUACACAGAUCAACUGCAGCUCGCCAUGCAAGCUGCCUGCUUAUUUUGGCAGUCUUGGACCCUUCAGCAUCAUAAAUACCAGGACAAAAAUAAGUUCAUUGGGUACACAAGGUACCAUGACGCGCUGCUUUCUUCAACAUUGAUCGAGGUAGAGUUGCUUUAUGGAAGAGAAGCUUCGAGAGUAU